AUGCCCUCCGGCGCCGGCGGCAAGGUCAUGCCCAAGUCCAAGGCCUCCUUCUUCCUCUACGGCCUCCUCCUCUACGUGCUCCUCCCCGUCCUCGCCGUCUACGUCGUCGCCCUCGCCCUCUCCCCGCUCUUCUCCGGCUCCUGCCCGCCGGCCGAGGACGCCAGCAAUGCCGUCGCUCGUCUCGCGGCGGACGCGGCUGCCGGCCGCAACGCUUCUUCGUUUUCGUCGUCGAAUAAUAUGAUGCAGCGUUCGCCGGCGCCGUUGGCGCGGCGCGUGCGGAAGCCGAGCCCGUCCGCGGACGCCGCGCCGACGGGGCUGCGGCACAUCCUGUUCGGCAUCGGCGCGUCGUCGUCCAUGUGGAAGAGCCGGCGGGAGUACAUCCGGGUGUGGUGGCGGCCGGGGAAGAUGCGCGGCUUCGUGUGGCUGGACAAGCCGGUGCCGGAGUACUACUCCCGGAACUCCUCCACGGGCCUCCCCGCCCUCAAGAUAAGCGCGGACACGUCCGAGUUCCCCUACACGCACGGCGCCGGCAGCCGCUCCGCGCUGCGCAUCUCCCGCAUCGUCUCCGAGAGCUACCGGCUGGGGCUCCCCGGCGUGCGGUGGUUCGUCAUGGGCGACGACGACACCGUCUUCUUCCCGGACAACCUGGUGGACGUGCUGUCCCGCUACGACCACACGCAGCCAUACUACAUCGGGAACCCCUCCGAGAGCCACAUCCAGAACCUCAUCUUCUCCUACGGCAUGGCCUUCGGCGGCGGCGGCUUCGCCAUCAGCCGCGCGCUCGCCGCGCAGCUGGCGCGCAUGCAGGACGGCUGCAUGCACCGCUACCCGGCGCUCUACGGCAGCGAUGACCGCAUCCACGCCUGCAUGUCGGAGCUGGGCGUGCCGCUCACCCGCCACCUGGGCUUCCACCAGUGCGACAUCUGGGGGGACGUGCUCGGCCUGCUGGGCUCCCACCCGGUGGUGCCGCUCGUGACGCUGCACCACUUCGACUUCCUGCAGCCCGUGUUCCCCGCGGCGCGGUCCCGCACGGCGGCGCUGCGGCGGCUCUUCGACGGGCCCGCGCGGCUGGACCCGGCCGCCGUGGCGCAGCAGUCCGUGUGCUACGACCGGGAGAAGCAGUGGACGGUGUCGGUGUCGUGGGGGUUCGCGGUGGUGGUGGUGCGCGGGGUGGUGUCGCCGCGGGAGAUGGAGACGCCGAUGCGCACCUUCCUCAACUGGUACAAGCGCGCCGACUACACGGCCUACUCCUUCAACACGCGGCCCGUGGCGCGCAACCACUGCCAGCGCCCGCAGGUGUACUACAUGCGGCGGGUCCGGCGCCGCACCAACGCCACGCUCGAGACGACCGUGACCGAGUACGAGCGGCACACCCCCGCGCCCAACGUCACAUGCCGGUGGCGCAUCCCCGACCCCGCCGGCCUGCUCGACCGCGUCGUCAUCGUCAAGAAGCCCGACCCCGACCUCUGGAAACGGUCUCCGAGGAGGAACUGCUGCAGGGUGGUGUCGUCGCCCAAGAACGGGACGAAGCUGGAUCGGACCAUGGCCGUCGACGUGGGUGUCUGCCGGGACGGCGAGUUUGCUCGAAUUUAG
rnacentral:rRNA from 1 species